rnacentral:rRNA from 1 species
UACGGGGGGGGCAAGCGUUGUUCGGAAUUACUGGGCGUAAAGGGCUCGUAGGUGGCCAACUAAGUCAGACGUGAAAUCCCUCGGCUUAACCGGGGAACUGCGUCUGAUACUGGAUGGCUUGAGUUUGGGAGAGGGAUGCGGAAUUCCAGGUGUAGCGGUGAAAUGCGUAGAUAUCUGGAGGAACACCGGUGGCGAAGGCGGCAUCCUGGACCGGCAUUGACGCUGAGGAGCGAAAGCCAGGGGAGCAAACGGG